CUCUUGGGGUCAGGGAAGGUUCAGAGGGGUAUUCUUUGAGGCAGGGGUCAAAUUUUAGAGACGGAGAAGAGGAAAAAGGUAUGUUGUGGGGAAAAAAAUGGUUUGAACAAACGUUAGGGGUUAGACUAAUUCAGAUGUCUUAGGACAGAUAAUUUGUAGGCAGAUUGGUUUUGGAAGAAGUUUCAUGAGCCUAAUAUGGCUUGUUAAUACCACUGCCAAGCUCCCAGUGUUGGGAAGACCCUAAGUCUCUUCUCUGAGAUCUCUAUCCAGGAUUGAGUGAGGUUACAAGAAGGGAAAUCCUAAAUGUCUAAAAGUUAGUCUGUAAGAGUCAGAAUGUUACUGAGAACUCAUGAGAUGAGAGUAACAUAGAAAAAACUGAAGUAUGGGAAGUUUUACUAUGCAGUAGCCUGCAGGAUGGAUCAGAU
rnacentral:lncRNA from 1 species